GGGUACUUGCCCUCGACUUCGGGACAACUCGGGGAAACCUGAGCUAAUACCGGAUGUGGCUCGGGAAAGGCAUCUUUUCCGAAUCAAAGGUUUACUGGUCGAGGAGAGACCCGCGCCCUAUUAGCUUGUUGGAGACGGAACCGCACACCAAGGCUGGAUGGGUAGCCAUCUGAAGAUGUCGCCACACUGGGACUGAGAAACUGCAGAUCUACGGGAGGCUGCAGUCGAGAUCAUGUCAUGGCGCAAGCUGAACAUGCGACGCGCGGGAGCGAUGAAGGCUUCGGGUCGUAAGCUCUUUCAGCAGGGAAGAAUAAAUUGACGGUACUGCAGAAGAAGCCCCGGCUAAUUACGUGCCAGCAGCCGCGGUAAUACGUAAGGGGCGAGCGUUGUUCGGAUUCACUGGGCGUAAAGGGUGCAUAGGCGGCAUGCUAAGUCGGGAGUGAAAUCCCCCGGUCCAACUGGGGAACUGCUUUCGAAACUGGCGUGCUUGAGUACGGGAGAGGAGAGCGGAAUUCUCGGUGUAGCGGUGGAAUGCGUAGAUAUCGAGAAGAACACUCGUGGCGAAGGCGGCUCUCUGGAACGAUACUGACGCUGAAGCACGAAAGCCAGGGGAGCAAACGGGAUUAGAUACCCCGGUAGUCCUGGCCCUAAACGAUGUACACUUGGUGUAGGAGGUAUCGACCCCUCCUGUGCCGAAGCUAACGCAUUAAGUGUACCGCCUGGGGAGUACAGUCGCAAGUCUGAAACUCAAAGGAAUUGACGGGGGCCCGCACAAGCGGUGGAGCAUGUGGUUCAAUUCGAUGCAACGCGAAGAACCUUACCAGGGCUUGACAUGCAGUUGCUAAUCCCGGGAAACCGGGACUCCUUCGAGGGUACUGCACAGGUGCUGCAUGGCUGUCGUCAGCUCGUGUCGUGAGAUGUUGGGUUAAGUCCCGCACGAGCGCAACCCUUGUUGUUAGUUGCCAGCACGAAAGGUGGGCACUCUAACAGACUGCCGGUGUUAAACCGGAGGAAGGUGGGGAUGACGUCAAGUCAGUAUGGCCCUUACGCUCUGGGCUACACACGUGCUACAAUGGCCGUACAGAGGGUUGCCAAUCCGUGAGGUGGAGCUAUCCCAGAAGCCGCCUCAGUUCCGAAUGGAGUCUGCAUCGACUCCAUGAGCUGGAAUCGCUAGUAUGGCGUAUCAGCCACGAGCCGUGAAUACGUUCCCGGGCCCCCUACACACCGCCCGUCACAUCAUGAAAGCCUACUGUACCCGAAGUCGCUGGUCCAACCCGCAAGGGGGGAAGGUGCCGAAGGUAUGGUCGGUGAUUGGGAUGAAGUCGUAACAAGGUAACC
rnacentral:rRNA from 1 species